GGGGGCGUCACGGUUUCGACGGGAACAGCGACCCCGGGCGAUGCAGGCGGAGCGUGCUACCGGCUCCUAAAUGCGGUGGAAAGUCACAACUGCCAACGAUAACUUGGCAUUGGCUGCCUAACUAAACCCUAGUCAGCCCGUCCUCCCGGUGGCCCGCCCACGGCGGCCGGAAAGGGCGUCAUCAAGGUGGGCUGGCCCUUAGCUCUCGGUCCGGGGGCGACGGGUGAGAUCAAUCGGACUAGCCUUUGCCGGUUUCGUCCGACCUACACGGCGAAGGCGAAAUUUCAGGUCGGGCUAAGCCUGUAGGAUCUCCCGUAGGCGUGCUUCCGGACGUGGGUUCGACUCCCACCGCCUCCACCA
rnacentral:tmRNA from 1 species